rnacentral:rRNA from 1 species
GACGAACGCUGGCGGCGUGCUUAACACAUGCAAGUCGAACGAGGAAUCUACGGAUCGAGGAUUCGUCCAAGAGAAGUAGAGGACAGUGGCGGACGGGUGAGUAACGCGUGAGGAACCUGCCUUUCAGAGGGGGACAACAGUUGGAAACGACUGCUAAUACCGGAUACGUCCGCAAGGAGAAAGAUUUAUCGCCGAAGGAUCGGCCCGCGUCCGAUUAGCUAGUUGGUGAGGUAAUGGCUCACCAAGGCGACGAUCGGUAGCUGGUCUGAGAGGAUGAUCAGCCACACUGGGACUGAGACACGGCCCAGACUCCUACGGGAGGCAGCAGUGGGGAAUAUUGGACAAUGGGCGCAAGCCUGAUCCAGCCAUGCCGCGUGAGUGAUGAAGGCCCUAGGGUUGUAAAGCUCUUUCGGCGGGGAAGAUAAUGACGGUACCCGCAGAAGAAGCCCCGGCUAACUUCGUG